GCGUUAUCCGGAAUCAUUGGGUUUAAAGGGUCCGUAGGCGGUUUAGUAAGUCAGUGGUGAAAGCCCAUCGCUCAACGGUGGAACGGCCAUUGAUACUGCUAGACUUGAAUUAUUAGGAAGUAACUAGAAUAUGUAGUGUAGCGGUGAAAUGCUUAGAGAUUACAUGGAAUACCAAUUGCGAAGGCAGGUUACUACUAAUGGAUUGACGCUGAUGGACGAAAGCGUGGGUAGCGAACAGGAUUAGAUACCCUGGUAGUCCACGCCGUAAACGAUGGAUACUAGCUGUUGGGAGCGAUCUCAGUGGCUAAGCGAAAGUGAUAAGUAUCCCACCUGGGGAGUACGUUCGCAAGAAUGAAACUCAAAGGAAUUGACG
rnacentral:rRNA from 1 species